GUUAGACGAAGAAUCCGUAUAGAAUGAAUGUUUACAUUAGUUAACGUUCAAUUUUUGAAGUUUCUCUAGCUUUUUUGUUGGGUGAAAUCAGUAUAAGAAGCUCUUUCUUCUUUAAAAAUUAGUAGGAACUAAAAAACUUUGAUUUAAAACCAGGAUUAGAUACCCUGUUAUUCUCAGUUAUUCUUAAACAGGGUAGUAAAAGUUGUUCUUCAAACCCAAAGAUUUUGGCGGCACUUUAUCCAAAUAGAGGAGCUUGUCCCUUAAUCGAUAGUCCUCGUUUUAUCUUUCCUUCAUUUGUAAAGCUUGUAUACCGCCGUUGUCAGAUUACUUUUAGAGAAUGUUUUCAAGUUAAAAGACUUUAUAACUUCAGGUCAAGGUGCAGUUUAUAUGGGGGUGGAGGUGAGCUACAGUUUUCUUUAGAAAAUACGGAUUCUAAGCUUUGAAGCUAGCUGAAGGUGGAUUUACUAGUAAAGUAAUUUAAGUAAAAUUACUUGAAUAAGGCAAUAAAGUGUGUACAUAUCGCCCGUCACUCUCUUCUUAAGAGGAGAUAAGUC
rnacentral:rRNA from 1 species